AUGAAGAAGAUAAUCUCCGACGACGGGCUGCCCAGCAGCAGUUCUGCGGAGACCACCAAAGGCAAAGGGCAGCCGUCACCGGCGCCGGCGGCUGGAUCGGCGGCGCACCUCGACGGCGGCGAUGACAAAGUCUUUCAGCACGUGCUGGUCACUUUGGUCAUGUUCGUUUGCUUCGUCAUGUACGCCUUGUUAUUGUGGUCGGGGCUAGGGCAUUGGUACAACGUAAUCUUCACCGCCAUCACCUUCCUCUACUCCAUGGUCAUGAUCCACCUGUGGCUUAUCAAACGGCGAGACCAGAAGAAGACAUGUGAGACCGAAGCAUGCGAAUUGACAACUGUUAUUAGCACACCCGGAGCGCGAGAGUUGAUGCUGCUGGCAACCGGGAUCAUGUUAAUCUCCUUGGGGGUGGCAAUCUUCGUAUUUCGCCCAGAUUCCUAUGACUUGGCCUUCGUUGCUCUCACGGUCUUUUUAUCCACGACGGUCACGUUUGUUUCCCUCGAAGAAGCGAAAGUUGAAAGGAAGCCUUCAGAAGAACUUAGCGCUGCCUCAGAUCUAGUCUAG
rnacentral:rRNA from 1 species